rnacentral:rRNA from 1 species
AUUGAACGCUGGCGGCAGGCCUAACACAUGCAAGUCGAACGGUAACAGGAAGCAGCUUGCUGCUUUUCUGACGAGUGGCGGACGGGUGAGUCAUGUCUGGGAAACUGUCCGAUGGAGGGGGAUAACUACUGGAAACGGUAGCUAAUACCGCAUAACGUCGCAAGACCAAAGAGGGGGACCUUAGGGCCUCUUGCCAUCGGAUGUGCCCAGGUGGGAUUAGCUAGUAGGUGGGGUAACGGCUCACCUAGUCGACGAUCCCUACCUGGUCUGAGAGGAGGACCAGCCGCACUGGAACUGAGACACGGUCCAGACUCCUACGGGAGGCAGCAGUGGGGAAUAUUGCACAAUGGGCGCAAGCCUGAUGCAGCCAUGCCGCGUGUACGAAGAAGACCUUCGGGUUGUAAAGUACUUUCAGCGGGGAGGAAGGGAGUAAAGUUAAUACCUUUGCUCAUUGACGUUACCCGCAGAAGAAGCACCGGCUAACUCCGUG